rnacentral:rRNA from 1 species
UACAGAGGGUGCGAGCGUUGUCCGGAAUUACUGGGCGUAAAGCGCGUGUAGGCGGUACGACAAGUCUGCUGUGAAAGCGCCCGGCUUAACCGGGCGAGGUCGGUGGAAACUGUCGCACUGGAGGACGGUAGAGGGGGGUGGAAUUCCCGGUGUAGUGGUGAAAUGCGUAGAUAUCAGGAGGAACACCGAUGGCGAAGGCAGGUCUCUGGGCAUGAUCUGACGCUGAGGAGCGAAAGUGUGGGGAGCGAACAGG